AGAGUUUGAUCCUGGCUCAGGACGAACGCUGGCGGCGUGCCUAAUACAUGCAAGUAGAACGCUGAAGAGAGGAGCUUGCUCUUCUUGGAUGAGUUGCGAACGGGUGAGUAACGCGUAGGUAACCUGCCUUGUAGCGGGGGAUAACUAUUGGAAACGAUAGCUAAUACCGCAUAACAAUGGAUGACACAUGUCAUUUAUUUGAAAGGGGCAAUUGUUCCACUACAAGAUGGACCUGCGUUGUAUUAGCUAGUAGGUGAGGUAAUGGCUCACCUAGGCGACUAUACAUAGCCGACCUGAGAGGGUGAUCGGCCACACUGGGACUGAGACACGGCCCAGACUCCUACGGGAGGCAGCAGUAGGGAAUCUUCGGCAAUGGGGGCAACCCUGACCGAGCAACGCCGCGUGAGUGAAGAAGGUUUUCGGAUCGUAAAGCUCUGUUGUAAGUCAAGAACGGGUGUGAGAGUGGAAAGUUCACACUGUGACGGUAGCUUACCAGAAAGGGACGGCUAACUACGUGCCAGCAGCCGCGGUAAUACGUAGGUCCCGAGCGUUGUCCGGAUUUAUUGGGCGUAAAGCGAGCGCAGGCGGUUUGAUAAGUCUGAAGUUAAAGGCUGUGGCUCAACCAUAGUUCGCUUUGGAAACUGUCAAACUUGAGUGCAGAAGGGGAGAGUGGAAUUCCAUGUGUAGCGGUGAAAUGCGUAGAUAUAUGGAGGAACACCGGUGGCGAAAGCGGCUCUCUGGUCUGUAACUGACGCUGAGGCUCGAAAGCGUGGGGAGCGAACAGGAUUAGAUACCCUGGUAGUCCACGCCGUAAACGAUGAGUGCUAGGUGUUGGAUCCUUUCCGGGAUUCAGUGCCGCAGCUAACGCAUUAAGCACUCCGCCUGGGGAGUACGACCGCAAGGUUGAAACUCAAAGGAAUUGACGGGGGCCCGCACAAGCGGUGGAGCAUGUGGUUUAAUUCGAAGCAACGCGAAGAACCUUACCAGGUCUUGACAUCCCGAUGCUAUUUCUAGAGAUAGAAAGUUACUUCGGUACAUCGGUGACAGGUGGUGCAUGGUUGUCGUCAGCUCGUGUCGUGAGAUGUUGGGUUAAGUCCCGCAACGAGCGCAACCCCUAUUGUUAGUUGCCAUCAUUCAGUUGGGCACUCUAGCGAGACUGCCGGUAAUAAACCGGAGGAAGGUGGGGAUGACGUCAAAUCAUCAUGCCCCUUAUGACCUGGGCUACACACGUGCUACAAUGGUUGGUACAACGAGUUGCGAGUCGGUGACGGCGAGCUAAUCUCUUAAAGCCAAUCUCAGUUCGGAUUGUAGGCUGCAACUCGCCUACAUGAAGUCGGGAUCGCUAGUAAUCGCGGAUCAGCACGCCGCGGUGAAUACGUUCCCGGGCCUUGUACACACCGCCCGUCACACCACGAGAGUUUGUAACACCCGAAGUCGGUGAGGUAACCUUUUGGAGCCAGCCGCCUAAGGUGGGACAGAUGAUUGGGGUGAAGUCGUAACAAGGUA
rnacentral:rRNA from 1 species